rnacentral:rRNA from 1 species
UACAGAGGGUGCAAGCGUUAAUCGGAAUUACUGGGCGUAAAGCGAACGUAGACGGUUGGAUAAGUCGGAUGUGAAAGCCCCGGGCUCAACCUGGGAAUGGCAUUCGAGACUGUUCAGCUAGGGUGCGGAAGAGGGAAGCGGAAUUUCCGGUGUAGCGGUGAAAUGCGUAGAUAUCGGAAGGAACACCAGUGGCGAAAGCGGCUUCCUGGUCCAGCACCGACGUUCAGGUUCGAAAGCAUGGGGAGCAAACAGG